CUCGGUGCGAGUUUUGUACUUGUACAUACAUGCAGGGUAUGUCGUCGGAUGUCCGGAGUCACUACGCCUCCACCGUCACCGUGGGAGAUAUCGAACCUUGGGUCUCCCUCGUCAACAACUUCCCCGGCUGUGACGGAAUGGAUACGGACGAGGGCAACAAGGCCUGCCGCAUCUAUCCCAUUUUGAACGGCAAGGACCGCGACCUGGCUGCCAUUGCUGCUAAGAAGGCUGGCAAGCACGACAAGCCCAAGUACUGCGACUUCUGCGGCUAAUCGCAUAUCAUGCGAUAAUGCGCAUGGUGGUGAUCCUUCGUUUCUACUAGCGGUACAUCAAGACGUGGAUGAACGUAGCUGCCAGGGUGUGAGGCUUAAUUGUAUGGUCAAGCCGCAUAUGUAUUCUCUUUUGAUGUGUGUGAUCAUAGGCAAGCAUGUGUACGGCGGUAGGGGUGUUACACAUGACGGAAGUCAGUAGAGCAUCAUAGACCAUCAUGCACAUGGGGGAAGAGGCUGGGGGACUCAGUGCAGGUUAGUAUCGGGUCAGUUGCUGUCGGGAGGCGGAUGGUACAGCGCCACCUGCAUGGGUAUAGCUGCACUGAGUGGAAUCAUCAUCUGAAGACAGUGAUGCGGUCAUCAGUUUCCAUUUCCUCUGGAACACAAGCAAACUCGUGGCUUAGUGGCUGUCCGUUGUAAUGAACACGCAAUUCUCUGUCUAGGUACCACAGCUGCCUGAUCUCCCACAAGCAUGCUCUCCGCUUGGCUGCCAAAGCAGGCAGGGAUUCUUUUCAGAACACUGAGUUAGUCCUGGUCGUAGUCGUAGCGGAGCUUGCUGCAUGCCGGACCACUUGUUCUUCCUUUCCAUGUCUGUGUCUAUUACAGCGACAGGCGAUGUGCCCUUUGCGGCAAUAACGGCGUCUAAUUUGAACCAGGGAAGAUUUGGGCAGCGUAAGCCGAAAUAUGAACUGCCAGCAAAAGGAAAGGUGCUGCGUUCUGGUCAGUUGGAUGGCAAGAUGUGAAAUCCGGCCGUCAUCGGCUGUCGUCAAGCCGGCUACAGCCAUGUGCAGCAGUAAUGUGCAGUUAGACAUGCGGCGUGCACGUAGGCUGAAGUGCACGUGUGUGAACGAUGCCACAAACUGGCAUGAAUAUCAGUAGGCCGAAAGGAAGGGGCCCAGGCAGUGCGCACGCGCAUGUGUGUAUGUACGUAUGUGCGUGCGUGUGUGUAUGGGUGUGACUGGGUGUGUGUGUGUGCGUGUGUAUGUGUGUUUUACAUCACCUAACCGGGUUCUGAUACCUGACCAAGGGGCAGCUACUGGACCUGACACUGACCAGGGAUGCAGGGUCCCUGCCCUGACGGAGGGCAGCAGUCGUCAGCAGUCUAGUCGCUCUCCGACACAGGAAGAGAGGGCCUUGAGGGGUGGGCUGCUGACCCCAUCGUGGCGAGUGCACCUACCGUGUAUACACGUAUGUUAUUACAGGGUGGUUAACUUCGCCAACGGCCCCCUUUCCCGAGGCAGUCCCUGCUCUCCCCUGCUAGAGGGGCACCCUAAUCCGUAUGUAUGUAUGAAUAGGACCCCAUGCGUGGUCAACCCCGGAAGCACCUACUCCUCAAGCCCCGAUUUGCUGGAAAACUCCUGAACCCCUACGCCGCGUUACGUCGGUCUAUCUGUAUGUAUGCAUGUAUGAGCGCGCGGCUCAGGCUCCUCAUGAGCUCCUCGCGAAUAGGUCGCAUGUACCACUACAGUGGUAGGUCCACCGCCAGAAAGUCCGGCGGUACCCGGGGGCACUUCCAGGGACCCCGCCUUGCGAGUUCGCAAGGAAGCAAAGCAAAGCAAAGCGAAGGCUGAGGACAUUAGAGGUGGAGCAGAUUAGACAGGUCAGCCAUGGUGGCCGCAGUCGGCAGCUGAAGCCCGGUCAGUGAAACCCUUCGACCCGGGUACACAAUUACAAGGAUUCGUGUUCCUAAGCAAUUCCUAGUUCUAGUACCCCAUUGCUAAGUCCCGCUCCGCCUACCACAAAUCAAAGCGUGGGCACAAAAAGCACGGCAUUCUCGACAGAUGCCCAUUUACCAUCUGUACGUGAACAUGCAUGCAUGGUUCAGCAUGCAUGAGACAUGUGCAUACACGCAUAUGCACAACGGUGCAGCAUGCGGGGAACCCCGACCCCGAUCGGGCCCGAGUGCCCGAGAAGCACACCACGUUGACACUACCCUAGCCACCGGCCUGUACGGAUGCCCCCGCGGGGCCCCCGCCCUAUUUCCAGCUUCAAGGAAGCCGACACCCGACUUGUCUCUUCCGUGUAUAUUCUUGAGUACUAGAACGUUUCCAUUGUACUAUGUCCCUAACCUAACUUGUGGCUCUUAGGCUCUUGGACCUCUGGCUCGUACGGGCCUGUCACACCUCUCUGGGUAAUUUGCAAAGGCCGGCUGGAGACCAGCUUCCUCCAGAGAUGUGACUCAACAUUUCCUAGGUGCGUGGAGCACACAAACAAGUCGCCACAAUCAAUCGUCUGGUGCCGAUAGACGGGGGCAAAACUUGAUGAGGGGUGUGUUUGUGUGUGUGGUGGGGGAUCACAAUAACUUGGUUAGCAUGGUCCCGACUAUGCCAACCGUACAAAAAGCGGGAGGGUAUCCGGGGUUCUCCCGGGAUACUACCGAGCAUCCAUUCCACCGUUAGAUCACAACGUCGAUUGACUCACGUGCCGGUCGUGGUCCCAUCCAGGAACUUAUCCACGACGACAUGAUGUAUGACGUGUGAGCUCACGUCAACACCUUCCUCCCCCGGGCGAAUAUGUAGCGGUUGUAUUCGUCACACCCAUUUACUAUAAUGGUGGCAAAUGUCCGUACCCCUCAUCAGCUUGCCAGCGUUGGACGCGACGAUGCCUAGCGUGUAGACGGCUUCUGUGCCGGCGUCCCAUCCAGUGCAAGGUUCAGAUAGCACAGUCUCGGAACGCACCACGAAUCAGUCGAGCAAUUCGCACCAUCCAACAACUGAACGGGGGAUUUAAGCGAAGGAUGCCUCAUAUUAUUGUGCAUCUGUCCCUUACUCAUACAUUGAAUUUCAGCUCUAUCCAGAUAAAUCUUUGCAGUGAUCCGCUUGGGGUCUGGUGCUAUAUCUGAAAAUGGCUUUGAGGGUUGUGUUUGGCAUUCUAUUGCUGGUGUUGGUGGCGCAGCAGGCCGCAGCGGGGGGAAGCGGAGGCAAGGAGCGCCGCUGGCCCAAGGAGUUGAAGGAGGAUUUUCAGGUACAUAGGAUAAUCGGUAAAUCGGUAAAUAGAAAAUAGGUAAAUAGGUAAAUAGGUAGGUAGGGAGGUAGGGCUGAUGUACCCAACCUUUACCACUUGACCCGGUCGCCUCACUCCCUCAUUCGCCAUUCCAUGCACCCUUCCCCCCUAGGACACACACACCAUCACACUAAAACACACACGCACGACGCAACCAGGGCCCCACAUGUUCAUGCGUUGCAGUUUGAGCUCCGCAACAUCUACAGCAACCGGCAGAACGGCAGUCGCUACAACUUCCUCACCAAGUACCGCUAUCCCAGCAGCUCUGGUGGGUGCAGUACAUUCGUAGGGAACUGACAAAGCCGUCCGGACGAGGCAGGGGGCCGCGUUUCGCUCCAUUCGGAGGCAGCGGCGCUGCGAGCCGAAUGCUUUGCCUUCCUGCGUGCUGCAACGCGCUGUGCUGUGCUCGUCUACUGCAGAGGCGUUCGAUUUCCAUGAGGCGGAAGAGUUAAUUCUGAAGUUCGUGCCUGCCGGUGGCAUGGGCAUCCCAGGCGACGCAUUCACUGAAGUCCUUUCCCUCGCCAUCGCUAAGGCGCUCUGGGCGAAGUUUAACCUUGUCGGCUUGAGCUUCCGCAUUGAGGUGCAGGUGUGUGGGGGAGCCCUGUCUGCGGGUGAUGGCGGCUAAUGUGAGGCCGCCUCAUCAGCCCCCGAUGAUAAGGUUCAGCUAGGGUUAGCCUGGAAGAACGAGACCUCGAGAUUCAGAUGCACAGGAUUACGUAAGAGUACAAACCAAUAAGGAAGGACUUAGGACGAUGUGGAUUGAACGGGCGUAGCUGGGACUCGCCAUGCCGCGUGCUGUACCGUGGUCCGGCAGAUUGCGCGCAUCUAUGUCCUUCGAGGACUUGCGGCGUUUAUUUAUUUCGUAGUACGAUACCGGAUUCUGGGUUGCUGGUAAGUAAUAAUAUCAGGGGUCGCGACCUGCGCCUUUUAACGGUCGCAGCGCCCACGCUACCCACCCAAGCUGACCAUCUUCCUUCGAUGCCAUUCAAACAUGUAACCGGCGCCUGCUGGUUCGCCCACCCUUCAUUUGCAUACGUUUUUGGCCUUCCUGGCUCGGUGCGAGUUUUGUACUUGUACAUAUAUGCAGGGUAUGUCGUCGGACGUCCGAAGUCACUACGCCUCCACCGUCACCGUGGGAGAUAUCGAACCUUGGGUCUCCCUCGUCAACAACUUCCCCGGCUGUGACGGCAUGGACACGGACGAGGGCAACAAGGCCUGCCGCAUCUAUCCCAUUUUGAACGGCAAGGACCGCGACCUGGUUGCCACUGCUGCUAAGAAGGCUGGCAAGCACGACAAGCCCAAGUACUGCGAUUUCUGCGGCUAAUCGCAUAUCACACAUGCGCAUGGUGGUGAUCCUUCGUUUCUACUAGCGGUACAUCAAGACGUGGAUGAACGUAGCUGCCAGGGUGUGAGGCUUAAUUGUAUGGUCAAGCCGCAUAUGCAUUCUCUUUUGAUGUGUGUGAUCAUAGGCAAGCAUGUGUAUGGCGGUAGGGGUAUUACACAUGGCGGAAGUCAGUAGAGCAUCAUAGGCCAUCAUGCACAUGGGGGAAGAGGCCGGGGGACUCAGUGCAGGUUAGUAUCGGGUCAGUUGCUGUCGGGAGGCGGAUGGUACAGCGCCACCUGCAUGGGUAUAGCUGCACAAGAGCUGGAGUCAUCACCUGAAGACAGUGGUGUGGUCAUCAGUGAAUUUCCUCUGGAACACAAGCAAACUCGUGGCUUGGUGGCUGUCCGUUGUAAUGAACACGCAAUUCUCUGUCUAGGUACCACAGCUGCAUGAUCUCCCACAAGCAUGCUCUCCGCUUGGCUGCCAAAGCAGGCAGGGAUUCAGAACACCGAGUUAGUCGUAGUCGUAGUCGUACGGCGCCGAGUUGGUGUGUGCGGUGCCGUGCUGGCGCUGCUCCAGUUGCUUGGCGACGUACUCACCGCCGUUGUCGCUGUGCAGCGUGUGCACCCGUGCGUGGUUCGGAUGGCGGGCCUCCAGCUGUGUCACCAUGUCCUGCAGCACUUCGCCCAUUGGCUCUUGCUGGCCAGCGUGCGGACGGCGGACAGACCGGUGGCACCAUCCAGCAGCGUCAGCAAGUAGCGUGCACCCCCAUCGGCCCAUGGUCGGCAUGGGGCCACACAGGUCAGAGUGUACGACCUCCAGUGCGUGCUACGGCCGGUUGCCGCGGCUGGGGUGGGCGGUUGCGGUGGCCUUCACGGUGACACAGGCCUCGCAGACGGCCUCCACCGCCUGUCAUAGUGCCGCUGGAGUGACCUGUGGCCCCUGCACCAGCUGCUUGCUGAUCAGCUGCUUCAGCACGCGGUAACCGAGGUGACCGUACUGGCAGUGCAGGCGCUGUGCUGCCGCAAGUUCGGCGACUGAGCAUUCAGUGGCCCCGGGGCUGCCGUUGCCUAGUUGCCCUUUGCCGUUGCUGUCGCCGUUCGGUUGGCCUCCACCGGUGUGGCUGCCGGCGGUGCUGCCGCCACGGGUGCUGGUGAUGGUGGCGGCACUUCCGCCAGCGCUGCUACCUGCGGCCUGGCCCCUGCCAGCUCUGUCGCCCGUGGUGCUGAGGGCAUUGACGGUGACGUCGGUCGGCGCCUGCAGGUCCACGUCCAUGCAUAGUGCCCACGCUCACUCCAUGCGGUUAUAGACGGGCUGUUGUGCAGGAGGCUGAUGCAUAAGAACUAGCAGCCCGUCUUGUCCAUGCUGAACGUGACCGAGUAGCCGCGUGUCAUGAGGUCUGUCGACCUCUCACGAGGUCGACAGACGUCAGGGUGAGGACCGAGCUGGGGACGUGCAGCACGUUGUGCAGCCGGACAUUGUGUCCAUCACGAGUAUGCAGGUGCAGCUUCCCUGUUCCCACGACAUGUUGCCCCACCCCAUUAGCCGUGGCGCGCCGGCGGGGACAUGGUUGUGCAGCAGGGAGCGGUCACCCGUGAGGUGGUAUGGUGAGCCUGAGUCGAAGGUGACUCGUGAGCUGCUUCCACUGCGGUCGAUGACCAGCACUGGGGCACGGCUCUGGCGUGGGCUGCUUCUGCUGCUGCCCGAGCCGCUGCCACUGCUGCCGCCUGCAGUGUCGCCACCGUUGCGGUGGCUGUUGCCGCAUCGAGCACGGCCACAUUCACGUGCUCCGUCGGCCCUGCUGUUACCGCCAUUGCCGCUGCCAGUGCCCCUGCCGCCACCGUCACGGUGGCGGUUGCAGCUGCCUCAACUGAUGUUGCCGGCGGCGUGCAGCUGCUCGAAUGUGUUGCUGCGGUGAAGGCCGACGGACUCGUCCGCCUGCUUAACGGGACACUCGCGAACGUAGUGACCAGGCUGUCCGCAGUAGUAGCAGGUGUCGCCGGCCCCCACGGCGCCUGCAGCACCGGCGGCGCUGCCGAUUCCACUGGCAGCACGGCCAGGGCCGACAGCUCCCACCAGGCUUGUCUUGCUUGCUUGGGUCUUAAGGUUGUUCUCCUUCUCACGCAGCAUGAGCACGAGCUGUGGGGUCGUUAAGCUGGGCUGAUACAUCGUGAACUCGACGGUGAUGAUGCACUGCGGAGGCAGGCCAUGGAGAAUGGCGUGGUGCAUCGUGCUCUCGUCCCACUGGCCGCCGGCCACGAUUAUAUUGCUACGGAGCUGCUCUGCCUGCUGAACGAAUCAGUGGUCGUCUUCCCAUCGCGCAUGCUCAGCUGCUUCUGCGGCUCCAACAGGCUCAGCCGGGCCUGGGAUGCAGAACGCAAUUGUUGCUGUAAGAGCUGCAUGGCGGCGAGAAUGGUCUGGCAAUUCCUGAGCAACUGCUUGAUGGGCAGUUCACAGGACAGAUGCAGGUAGCCGAGCGCCUGUGCGUCCUCCUCCAGGGCGUCUUGGGCGUUGCGGCCCGGAGGCGACGGGUGUUGAUGUAGUCUUCAACUUGGAUGUUGCAAAGAAAUCGCCUAAGUCGCCGAGCCACUGGGAGUAGUUCGACCCAUCCGAGAGGAGGACACCCUUACAUCCCUUCCCCAUGAUGGUUGCCUAGCGAGCAUGACUGAUCAAGCCGUGUUCCCCGCCGCCUUUCUGGCAACUAGUUGAUGGUAUGAUGCAUCGUUGUUGCGGCGUACGAUGGCUCCUACUGCGAUUUAUGCCCUUUCAGCCUCCCAGGCAUGUCCCCACAACUGCCUCACAGCCACCGACACAUCUCACGGCGGGGGUUUAAUUGUGUGCGUGUUGGAUGCAGCGUCCCCGCCACAUUCCGGCAAAUAGUUGAUGGCGUCAUACAUCGUUGGCACGGUGUAAGACGGUGCCUGAUGCGAUUUAUGCGUCCGGAAGCCCUUUCAGCCUCCCAGGCAUGUCCCCACAACUGCCUCACAGCCAGCGGGGGUCUAAUUGCGUGCGCGUUCGCAUGCGGCAUAUGUCCCGCCGCCUUUCUGGCAUCUAUUGAUGGUAUGAUGAAUCGUUGUGCGAUGUAAGGCUGCGCCUGAUGCGAUCUCGUUUGCGGAAGGGCCCCCUGAGUGCUGCCAAGCAUGUUAUUCUCUCAUGAGACUGCGUGAAGGUUCACGAACUGAGUAUGCGACCAACACAUAAAACAUCGCAUGUGAAUUGUUAUGUCAUGCGAUUAAUCAAAGUAAAUCGUGUGUGUUUGGUGUGUGUUUGGUGCGUUAGGCCGCAGUAAACUUGACGCAACGAGCCUUAAACGCAACAUUUGUUUGCAUGCGAAUUGCGUUGCGACAUGUGUGCGUUUGGUGUGUGUUAGGCCGCGUUAAGCUUUACGCAAUCAGCCUUCAUACGCAUGAAACGCAACAUGUAUUCGCAUGCGAAUAGCCUUGCGGACUGUAUGCGUUUGAUGUGCGAUUGGACGCGUAUUGCUUUACGCAUUGUCUCCCCACACGCACGAAUCGCAAUAUGAAAUCGCAUGCGUAUCGCCUUGCUACACAUGCGCGUAUGCUUCGCGUUUCAACAUACGCACGGAUGAAUUGCUCAAGUCGACCAAAACGACACAAGUUUAUUUCCAAAUGAACCUUUAUAAUCUGAAAAUUAUAAAAUUUAAAAAUUUUAGCCAGGAGGGCCGAUUUCUGCUUUUUCUUAGCCGUUGUGCGUUAGCUCUUUGCGUUACAAAAAUAUGCUGAUUCGCACCUAACUCUAAGAUUCGCACCGUCACGCGAACUAACGCGAACUAACGCGGACUUAAGGCGAUCACCCGUCGUCAUAGUGUGUCGUGGUCAUGGCGAGCAGGACCACAAUGCUGAACGUCAGCGAUUGUACCUACAAUGACAACAAUUACUAGCUUUAUAUUCACUAGCAGUCCAAGGCUUUAAUGAAUGUAUUGACUCAAGGAUCAGUCUAUCACAACGAUAACGGCGAAGGAAAAGAAGCCAAACUAACGUUACAAUUUGUGAAAAGAAGAAGUCAUAUCUAAUACAAAGUAUUUGUUAUUUAUGUACUGGGUUAAUUACUGGCUGAACAGCGACGCAGAUCGGUCGUGCGAUGAUGCCGUGCGAAAUCUUGCCGCCGCCGAAAAGUGCGUAACAACACUACCUACAUUUUCGUUUUUAUGGCAUUGUAAAUUUGCAUUAGAUUAAGUUGGCCGAUCAUUGGCGAGCGCAAUAAUGAGCGGUAGCAAACAUCUAUGACCUCAUCUCCUCAUCUCAGCGACUAGCCUUAAUCUCGCUUUACCGACUAAUUCGGCUUCUCCCCGGGAAAUCGAACUCAGGACUUUAAACCGCUAAUUGCAAUAGUGUCAACCCAGACCAGGCCAGGGAUGAUCCUACACACGCUGAGAAGCACAUCGGCAGCGCCAACGUAACACAACGAACUUGUUAAUGACGUGGUCUGUAGCUCAGUUGCAAGGCGUGAACACCGACCUAUGGCCCUUGUUCCUGUGGCGAGUCCACCUCACCCAUUUAUUAUAAUGGUGGCGAAUGUCGGCAUUGCCCGUACUGUAGUAUGCUCAAGAUGACACAACCAUGGAUGGUGGUAUCGAAAGAUGCCGGUUGACACAAGUUGAAAGAAUAAAUAGUCGUUGUAGCAUCCACUUGGGCCUCGCGCCGAUAAGUUCCCAGUACGACUGGGCGGUGCGAUGUUCAGUUUACCAUAGUUCACAGGAACUACUCUCGUCCGGUGAAGCAGACGAACCAGGAACGCAGAUUCCAGCUUUACGUAAAGGUAAAGCCCCCGCCCAUACGCCGGUAUGGACUUCCGCAGCAGUGCGGCAUUUGGACGGCGAACUCGACUAGCAGCAGUCGCAAGCCGCCAAUAAACUGAUAUAAGUAUAAGUUAAACCUGUGAUCAACGACGGCGGAUACAAACAGGUAUUAGUUAAUAACAACAGUGUUAGAACUGAACGGACUAACGGUCAGAUGCCCGUUAGGCAACCGAGCCUAGAGCUUAACAGUAAGCAUACAGGAUACAACACGUACCCCUCAUCAGCUUGCCAGCGUUAGACGCGACGAUGCCUAGCGUGUAGACGGCUUCUGUGCCGGCGUCCCAUCCAGUGCAAGGUUCAGAUAGCACAGUCCCGGAACGCACCACGAAUCAGUCGAGAAAUUCGCACCAUCCAACCAACAACUGAAUGGGGGAUUUAAGCGAAGGAUGCCACAUAUUAUUGUGCAAUUGCCCCAUACUCUCAAAUUAGAAUUGUCUCUUUUCCAGAUAAAUCUUUGCAGUGAUCCGCUUGGGGUCUGGAGUUAUAAUUGAGAAUGGCUGCGAGGGUUGUGUUUGGCAUUCUAUUGCUGGCGUUGAUGGCGCAGCAGGCCGCAGCGGGGGGAAACGGCGACCAGGGGCGCAGCUGGCCCACGGAGUUGAAGGAGGAUUUUCAGGUACAUAGGAAGAUCGGUAAAUCGGAAAUAGGUAAAUAGAUAGUUAGGAAGGUAAGGUUGAUGUACCCAACCUUUACCACUUGACCCCGUCGCCUCACUCCCUCAUUCGCCAUUCCAUGCCCCCUUCCCCCCUAGGACACAUACACCAUCACACUAAAAAAUACAUGCACGACGCAACCGGGGCCCCACAUGUUCAUGCGUUGCAGUUUGAGCUCCGCAACAUCUACAGCAACCGGCAGAACGGCAGUCGCUACAACUUCCUCACCAAAUACCGCUAUCCCAGCAGCUCUGGUGGGUGCAGUACAUUCGCAGGGAACUGACAAAGCCGUCCGGACGAGGCAGGGGGCCGCGUUUCGCUCCAUUCGGAGGCAGCGGCGCUGCGCGCCGAAUGCUUUGCCUUCCUGCGUGCUGCAACGCGCUGCGUUGUGCUGCGCUGUGCUGUGCUCGUCUACUGCAGAGGCAUUCGAUUUCCGUGAGGCGGAAGAGUUAAUUCUGAAGUUCGUGCCUGCCGGUGGCAUGGGCAUCCCAGGCGACGCAUUCACUGAAGUCCUUUGCCUUGACAUCGCUAAGGCGCUCUGGGCGAAGUUUAACCUUGUCGGCUUGAGCUUCCGCAUUGAGGUGCAGGUGUGUGGGGGGCCCUGUGUGCGGGUGAUGGCGGCUAAUGUGAGGCCGCCUCAUCAGCCCCCGUUGUCCCUAAAGGGAAUGUAUUUCCCUUCGGGGUUAGCUAGGUUCAGCUAGGUUUAGCUAGGUUUAGCUAGGUUUAGCUAGGUUUAGCUAGGGCGAAUGAGACCUCGAGAUGCUGAUGCAAAGGGCCCUGACUACUUACGAUUACAAACCAAUCAGGAAGGAUUUAGGACGAUGUGGAUUGACCGGGCGUAGCUGGGCCUCGCCAUGCCGCGUGCUGUACCGUGAUACGGCAAAUGGCGCGCAUCUGUGUCCUCGUUUAUAUGUUUGUAGUACGGCACCGGAAUCUGGUUGUUUCUGGUCAUUAAUGCCAGGGGUCGCGGCUGCGGUCGCAGCGCCCACGCUACCCACCCAAGCUGACCAUCUUCCUUCGAUGCCAUUCAAAAAUGUAACCGGCGCCAACUGGUUCACCCACCCUUCGCUUGCGUACUUUUUGGCCUUCCUGGCUCCAUUCGUGCUUUGUAUUUGACGUACAUACAUGCAGGGUAUGUCGUCGGACGUCCGAAGUCACUACGCCUCCACCGUCACAGUGGGAGAUAUCGAACCUUGGGUCUCCCUCGUCAACAACUUCCCCGGCUGUGACGGCAUGGAUACGGACGAGGGCAACAAGGCCUGCCGCAUCUAUCCCACUUUGAACGGCAAGGACCGCGACCUGGUUGCCACUGCUGCUAAGAAGGCUGGCAAGCACGACAAGCCCAAGUACUGCGAUUUCUGCGGCUAAUCGCAUAUCACACAUGC
rnacentral:lncRNA from 1 species